rnacentral:rRNA from 1 species
CAGCCGCCGCGGGAACACGAAGGGGGCUAGCGUUGCUCGGAAUUACUGGGCGUAAAGGGAGCGUAGGCGGAUCGUUAAGUUGGGGGUGAAAGCCCGGGGCUCAACCUCGGAAUUGCCUUCAAUACUGGCGAUCUUGAGUAUGGAAGAGGUAUGUGGAACUCCGAGUGUAGAGGUGAAAUUCGUAGAUAUUCGGAAGAACACCAGUGGCGAAGGCGACAUACUGGUCCAUUACUGACGCUGAGGCUCGAAAGCGUGGGGAGCAAACAGGAUUAGAUACCCCGGUAGUCCCUGUCUCUUAUAC